rnacentral:rRNA from 1 species
AUAUCACUAAGCGGAGGAAAAGAAAUUAACUAAGAUUGCCCCAGUAACGGCGAGUGAAGCGGCAAAAGCCCAAAAUGGAAAUCUCCACACUGCGUGUGGCGAAUUGUAAUCUAAAGGGUGGAAGCUCAAUAGGUCGUGGCGCAGAAGUGCCUUAGAACGGGCCGCCAAAGAGGGUGACAGCCCCGUAUGUGGUGCCAUUGCUUAACGAGCUCUGCUUGAAGAGUCGGGUUGUUUUGAAUUGCAGCCCUAAUCUGGGAGAUAGACUUCUUCUAAGGCUAAAUAUUUACGGGAGACCGAUAGCGCACAAGUA